CGCUGCGUCCCGCGCCUGACUGCCGGCUGCCACCCCCGGCCCUCCACACACGGUCGUCGGAGGGGGGAUGUGAGAGGGGAGGCGGGCGGCAGGAGUUGUGGUGGAGGGAGGCGGCGAUGGACACGCAGCUGGUGGCGGCGCAGGCGGAAUUCGCCGCCAUCCCCCUCCUCUCCACCUCCCCAUCGCCCUCACCGAUGCCGUCGCGACACCCAUCCAUUCCAGCGCGCCGCCGCCGACCCUGACUCGCAGGAUGGUUCCCCCGCUCCGCCGCGGCCGUGCUCGUGCCGUCCUCGACGCUCCGUCCCGGCCUCCGAGGCUCCGAGCGCUACAACUCGCUACCCCUCUCCCCCUUCUCGAAGCGCACCUGCCAUGGGUCCGACCCGCAGCGGUCUCCCUGCGCCGACGCGGCCGCGGGACACGGAGGUGCCCCUGCCAUGGUGACUGCCCCCACCACGGAGGCGUCGGCGGGAUUCCUCCCAGGACGCAGUCUGAAGCGGAAGGUGGGCUGCAUCGACUCCACCACAGCUCAUCGGCUCAGAGGAGACAUCUACUAUUUCCCGCUCAGGCUUCAAGUCGGCAUUUGCAAAAGCUUUGCAUGCUGUUCGGCUCAGAAAAGACAUUCAACACCCACAAGGUUCUGGGACCACUGCAACAUCCUUUGUGUUCCAUUGCAGUGUCCUUUUUUUUUCCUUGGCGUAUGAUGCAGUGCUGUUAGCAGAGACGAGCAGCGUCAGAUGGAGGAUAAUGGGUGAGAGCUACGAGUAUCAGUGGCAGGUUUUGCAAGUCGCAUGUGGAUCAGAGACGAAGUUUCGGCAGCAGAACAUUGGUGGAUUGGAUUGAGUAGUCGCAGGAUCUAAUUUAUAUCACUACGGAUUUUGUAAACUUGAUGAAGGGUUACUAGCUCAUGGUCGUGCUCAAGUACUACCACCAGAUGUCCAGAUGGGCGUCGUGCACAAGAAUAUUAAACUGGAUAAUGUUCUGCUGACCAAGGCCGGACAAUUGAAACUCGCAGAUUUUGGUCUGGCGGUGCGAGUCGCUGAUGUGGUACCAUCCAGAUCGAUGAUGAACUAUAACAGGCCGUGCCCAUGGUGUUCGGCGAAGCAAAACAAGACGGGAGGCUGGGGAAUGUCAAAGGCACGAAGCUCAAAUGGCCCCUGACACUCAAUUUAGUCACACAUGAAGCUGCCAUAUCAGAUUUUUAGUGUUGAGCUUGCAUUCUUAUACUUCAAAAUAGGACCUGUAAUUCGUUCCAUAUGAUGAUGUUCUUCGUCUAGAUUGCUCUAUCCAACACAACAGAUAUCGCGGAAUAUGAUGUGGUUCUAUAAGGUUUAUAUUAGAUCUUUAUUGUUAUUGUCUUGUUAACA